rnacentral:lncRNA from 1 species
AGGCAAUGUACCCAGCACUGCUCCAGCCUCAAAAUUCCAGUGAAUUUUAACAGAUGACAUGGCUUCUUUUACUUUCCUUCUUUCUAGCUCCUUCCCCACCAACAGCCAGAGGUGGCAGGAAUCUGGAGACUCAUCCCUGGGUGCCUCCUGCGCAAGUGCAGAUGCCCCAGUGGAAGAAGUCCUCCUCCCUCCUCCUCCACACCACGCCCACCCAGGGCGGUGCCACAGCCAAUGCAGCUGAGCUCAGAGCCUCACUGUGGGGUCUGCAGGGGCAAGGACAGCUGCUCCCUGCCCUCCCUUAGUGGUUGGUUGCGGAAUGCAGUUCUUUUGUAUGAGAACGCAUUUUCUCCAGUCAUUCUGCUUGCUGACCAACAACUUGUUACCGCUGCUGGCAGGCCUGUCCUAUCACAUGAACUUCCACCAUUGUGAUGUCACCACCCUGAAAUCCUCACCAGAGGAAGAACAGAUGGGGCUACCUGAUCUUGAGUUUUCAGCCACCGAUAUUCAUCAAGACUACAGAAAGAAGAGAAGCACUACCCAAGAAGUAAUGAUGUCUAAAGCGCAACCUGUUUUGAAAACCGCUACUACUGAGGCUUCAUUGCAAGUUCCGCAUCCACCAAGCCUCUAAGGCGCUGGCUCAGCGCAGAGUUAUUAAAGCUCUCGCCGCGAGAGCCGCCAACAGGAAAUACGCCAUCAUCAGGCGCAACCGUCUUAGCCUCGGCGCAUGGGAAGGUGACGUACAGGUUGGAGAUAAUGGUGGCCCGCCGAGACCGAAUUUUCUUGGGUAUUCACAGCCGGGCGGGGCGUGGGUUGGCGUCACUCUCAAUUUCUGUGUUUUCGUGGUUAUUGGAGACGGACGUUUUAUUUAUAUUUUCCUCUUGUUCAUUCGUUUUCAUGUUUAGGGUGUCGCAUUUUAAAACAUGAAUUUGCAUUUGUUCUUGCUAAUAUACAUUAUUAAUACAAGUUUUAAAGAUUCAAAUAUUUGCUUGUGAUCCCACCAAUCUAUCACUUUUCUACAGAUUAUUUUUAAUGACAGAGACCAGAAACAAGGGAUUUUUAGAGCCUAACUGCCAAAGUGCAACAUGUUUCAUCUGAUUAUAUGGGCUUUGCUUAACCUAUCGUUUUAUAGCUGUUUGGAUUCUGGUGUGUGUGUGUGUGUGUGUGACUCAGAAUACAGAACAGGCAAGGAGGAAUUUAUAGCUGAGGAGCAGGUGGAAGUCAGUGGCUGGAAAAUUACUAAGUGGUAAUGGGUAUCAGAUAUCACUUCCUGGGGGUGGAGGAUGAGAAACCUAAUCAGAUAUCUAGGUGGGGGUGUCUUGCUAAACUGAGUUAGCAAGGCUGUUUUCUAAAACUGGAUUUUAUAAGGCAGUCUGCAGAUGGUCCUUGGGAAAGGUUCCAGAUCCUGAUUAAAAUUUGAUUAAGCCUAGAAUCUUUGUCAGUGUGAGGAUUAUUAUUAUUAUUUUAUGUAGUACUGGAGACCAAACAGCCAUGUUAGGCAAACACUCUAACACCAGCCCAGGAAUUCAAGUUUUUAUACAAUGUUCCAUGCCCCCAUCCCCUUUCCAAGGAAC